rnacentral:rRNA from 1 species
AUUGAACGCUGGCGGCAGGCUUAACACAUGCGAGUCGAGCGGGGUGAUGGUGCUUGCACUAUCACUUAGCGGCGGACGGGUGAGUAAUGCUUAGGAAUCUGCCUAUUAGUGGGGGACAACAUCUCGAAAGGGAUGCUAAUACCGCAUACGUCCUACGGGAGAAAGCAGGGGAUCACUUGUGACCUUGCGCUAAUAGAUGAGCCUAAGUCGGAUUAGCUAGUUGGUGGGGUAAAGGCCUACCAAGGCGACGAUCUGUAGCGGGUCUGAGAGGAUGAUCCGCCACACUGGGACUGAGACACGGCCCAGACUCCUACGGGAGGCAGCAGUGGGGAAUAUUGGACAAUGGAGGGAACCCUGAUCCAGCCAUGCCGCGUGUGUGAAGAAGGCCUUAUGGUUGUAAAGCACUUUAAGCGAGGAGGAGGCUCUUUUGGUUAAUACCCAAGAUGAGUGGACGUUACUCGCAGAAUAAGCACCGGCUAACUCUGUGCCAGCAGCCGCAGUAA